AAAAGGGUGGGGGGCUAUACAUGCAAGUCGAACGCUUCUUUUUCCACCGGAGCUUGCUCCACCGGAAAAAGAGGAGUGGCGAACGGGUGAGUAACACGUGGGUAACCUGCCCAUCAGAAGGGGAUAACACUUGGAAACAGGUGCUAAUACCGUAUAACAAUCGAAACCGCAUGGUUUCGAUUUGAAAGGCGCUUUCGGGUGUCGCUGAUGGAUGGACCCGCGGUGCAUUAGCUAGUUGGUGAGGUAACGGCUCACCAAGGCGACGAUGCAUAGCCGACCUGAGAGGGUGAUCGGCCACAUUGGGACUGAGACACGGCCCAAACUCCUACGGGAGGCAGCAGUAGGGAAUCUUCGGCAAUGGACGAAAGUCUGACCGAGCAACGCCGCGUGAGUGAAGAAGGUUUUCGGAUCGUAAAACUCUGUUGUUAGAGAAGAACAAGGAUGAGAGUAACUGUUCAUCCCUUGACGGUAUCUAACCAGAAAGCCACGGCUAACUACGUGCCAGCAGCCGCGGUAAUACGUAGGUGGCAAGCGUUGUCCGGAUUUAUUGGGCGUAAAGCGAGCGCAGGCGGUUUCUUAAGUCUGAUGUGAAAGCCCCCGGCUCAACCGGGGAGGGUCAUUGGAAACUGGGAGACUUGAGUGCAGAAGAGGAGAGUGGAAUUCCAUGUGUAGCGGUGAAAUGCGUAGAUAUAUGGAGGAACACCAGUGGCGAAGGCGGCUCUCUGGUCUGUAACUGACGCUGAGGCUCGAAAGCGUGGUGAGCACACAGGAUUAUAUACCCUGGUAGUCCACGCCGUACACGAUGAGUGCUAAGUGUUGGAGGGUUUCCGCCCUUCAGUGCUGCAGCUAACGCAUGAAGCACUCCGCCUGAGGAGUACGACCGCACGGUUGAAACUCAAAGGAAGUGACGGUGGCCUUCACACCCAGUUCAGCAUGAGGUUUCUUUCCAACCACGA
rnacentral:rRNA from 1 species